AGGUGACAACACUGCAGUGAGAAAUCGAUAUUUUACAAGAUGCCCAUGCUUUUUGCAGAAAGAGAAGUGUCUGUCACAAAUGUUCCUUGACUGAUUUUGAAAUUUUUGCUUUCAAGUUUGGAAAAGACUACUCAAUGGGAUUAUGAAGAGAGACAAGAAAAAUGACAGACCAACCGAACAGCCGAUCAAAC